UACUUUAUGGAACGAUAUUUCAUUGAGAAAUCAAUUCAGACUAGGUCUCUCUGAUGGAAUAAAAGAUGAACUUUCUAGAUUAGAGUUACCACCUACACUUGAGGAAUUAAUGACCCUUACUAUAACAAUAGACAGACGUCUUAGGGAACGACAGCAGGAGAGGUCUUAUCACGACACAUACCCAAAGAAACAGACAACACCUCACAUAGUCAAACCUACAUCUGAACCUAUGGACAUAGGUAUGAUAAAAGGUCCUCUGUCGCCUGAGGAAAAGAUCAGGAGAAGAAGAAACAACCUCUGUUUGUAUUGUGCAUCUGAUAACCACACUGUCAAAGAAUGCCCAACUCUCCAGAGGCAAAACAAGGUGGGACCAUCACCGAGUCAACGCUUCCGCGAUAAUUGACUCAGGAGCAACAGCCUCAUAUAUAGAUAAACAAUUCACACAUGUAAAUAAAAUACCUUUGGUGCACAAA